AUCCCCUGGUGAGGACACGCAAGAAUGUACUCCUGAAGUCUCUCCCAAGCUUCAGGAAUUGACUCAUUUGAUGCCUGCUGAAAACUCAAAAUUCUUCGACGAAGAGC